UAUUCAGACAUCUACCACAGAAGAUCAACGUUUCAGUUCUCUAAGGAACUUUUGUCAGGAUGAAAGUUCUUUAGAGAACUGAAACGAUCUUCUGUGGC